AUUGAACGCUGGCGGCAGGCCUAACACAUGCAAGUCGAGCGGAUGAAGGGAGCUUGCUCCUGGAUUCAGCGGCGGACGGGUGAGUAAUGCCUAGGAAUCUGCCUGGUGGUGGGGGAUAACGUCCGGAAACGGGCGCUAAUACCGCAUACGUCCUGAGGGAGAAAGUGGGGGAUCUUCGGACCUCACGCUAUCAGAUGAGCCUAGGUCGGAUUAGCUAGUUGGUGGGGUAAAGGCCUACCAAGGCGACGAUCCGUAACUGGUCUGAGAGGAUGAUCAGUCACACUGGAACUGAGACACGGUCCAGACUCCUACGGGAGGCAGCAGUGGGGAAUAUUGGACAAAGGGCGAAAGCCUGAUCCAGCCAUGCCGCGUGUGUGAAGAAGGUCUUCGGAUUGUAAAGCACUUUAAGUUGGGAGGAAGGGCAGUAAGUUAAUACCUUGCUGUUUUGACGUUACCAACAGAAUAGGCACCGGCUAACUUCGUG
rnacentral:rRNA from 1 species